CGCCUCUUGAUUAACUAUAAGAGGUCUAGCCUGCCCAGUGACACUAGUUCAACGGCCGCGGUAUCCUAACCGUGCGAAGGUAGCGUAAUCACUUGUUUUUUAAAUAAAGACUUGUAUGAAAGGCUUCACGAGGGCCUAACUGUCUCCUUUUUCUUAUCAGUGAAACUGAUCUCCCCGUGAAGAAGCGGGGAUUUUUUUAUAAGACGAGAAGACCCUAUGGAGCUUUAAACUUUACAACACCUGCUUCCUAUUGCUAUUUUCAGAAAACUAUACCCACAGCAACCUGUUUGUGAGCUUUCGGUUGGGGCGACCCCGGAGAACAACUUAUCCUCCGCAAUGAAUAGACACCUCUUUAGUUAAAAGUCACAUCUUAAUACACCAGAAAACUGACAUAUAUUGACCCAAAAUUUUGAUCAACGAACUAAGUUACCCUAGGGAUAACAGCGCUAUCCACUUUGAAAGUUCCUAUCGACAAGUGGGCUUACGACCUCGAUGUUGGAUCAGGGUAUCCUAGUGGUGCAGCCGCUACUAAGGGUUCGUUUGUUCAACGAUUAAAACCCU
rnacentral:rRNA from 1 species